AGAGUUUGAUUAUGGCUCAGGAUGAACGCUGGCGGCGUGCCUAACACAUGCAAGUCGAGCGGAGUUAGAAGAAGAAGCUUGCUUCAUUUCUAACUUAGCGGCGGACGGGUGAGUAACACGUGAGUAACCUGCCCUCGAGUGGGGAAUAACACCGAGAAAUCGGUGCUAAUACCGCAUAAUGUCAUGAGACCGCAUGAUCUUAUGACCAAAGGAUUUAUUCGCUUAAGGAUGGACUCACGUCCGAUUAGUUAGUUGGUGAGGUAACGGCCCACCAAGACAUCGAUCGGUAGCCGAACUGAGAGGUUGAUCGGCCACAUUGGGACUGAGACACGGCCCAGACUCCUACGGGAGGCAGCAGUGGGGAAUAUUGGGCAAUGGGCGAAAGCCUGACCCAAGCAACGCCGCGUGAAGGAUGAAGGUCUUCGGAUUGUAAACUUCUUUGAUCAGGGACGAAACAAAUGACGGUACCUGAAGAACAAGCCACGGCUAACUACGUGCCAGCAGCAGC
rnacentral:rRNA from 1 species